UACGUAGGGUGCAAGCGUUGUCCGGAAUUAUUGGGCGUAAAGAGCUCGUAGGCGGUUUGUUGCGUCGGCUGUGAAAUCCCGAGGCUCAACCUCGGGUCUGCAGUCGAUACGAGCAAACUAGAGUGUUGCAGGGGAGACUGGAAUUCCUGGUGUAGCGGUGAAAUGCGCAGAUAUCAGGAGGAACACCGGUGGCGAAGGCGGUUCUCUGGGCAUGUCCUG
rnacentral:rRNA from 1 species